CGGCGAGUCCCGGGCAGCCGCCCGACCCGCGGCGCUCUGCCCAUCUUGCAGGGAAGUGGUCAUUGUCGCCGGCCGGGGAGCUCGGGCGUCAUGGGAGACCCGGCGCGUGGGGAGAAGGAGGUCGGGCGGCGGGAGGCGAGGUGCCGGCUCGGCAGCCCGAGCACGCUGCAGGUGAAGAGCACAGUCUGCGAAGAGGGUACAGUCUUGCUUCCUGUUGUAUCCUAGGGCCCCACGUUGAGCCUAAUACAUAGUAGCUUCUCGUUCUUUUGCCUAUCUCAAGCAACAUUUAAAGAAAUUUAAGGGCUUCCCUGGUGGCGCAGUGGUUGAGAAUCUGCCUGCCAAUGCAGGGGA